rnacentral:rRNA from 1 species
UACGGGGGGAGCAAGCGUUGUUCGGAUUUACUGGGCGUAAAGGGCGCGUAGGCGGCCUCUGCAAGUCGACUGUGAAAUCUCCGGGCUUAACCCGGAAAGGUCAGCCGAUACUGCAGGCUAGAGUGCAGAAGGGGCAACUGGAAUUCUCGGUGUAGCGGUGAAAUGCGUAGAUAUCGGGAGGAACACCAGUAGCGAAGGCGGCACUCUGGGCCGGUACUGACGCUGAGGAGCGAAAGCAUGGGGAGCGAACAGG